CUAGGAAUCUUGGGAAUGGGCGAAAGCCUGACCCAGCAACGCCGCGUGGGCGAUGAAGGCCUUCGGGUCGUAAAGCCCUUUUGAGGGGGACGAUGAUGACGGUACCCCUCGAAUAAGCCACGGCUAACUACGUGCCAGCAGCCGCGGUAAUACGUAGGUGGCAAGCGUUGUCCGGAUUUACUGGGCGUAAAGGGCGUGCAGGCGGUUUGUUUAGUCUAGGGUGAAAGCUCCCGGCUUAACUGGGAGAGGUCCUUGGAUACUGGCAAACUUGAGGGAGGCAGAGGAAAGUGGAAUUCCCGGUGUAGUGGUGAUAUGCGUAGAUAUCGGGAGGAACACCAGUGGCGAAGGCGGCUUUCUGGGCCUUACCUGACGCUGAGACGCGAAAGCGUGGGGAGCGAACCGGAUUAGAUACCCGGGUAGUCCACGCCGUAAACUAUGGACACUAGGUGUGGGGGGUAGUCGACCCCCUCCGUGCCGCAGCUAACGCAAUAAGUGUCCCGCCUGGGGAGUACGGCCGCAAGGCUAAAAC
rnacentral:rRNA from 1 species